AUUGAACGCUGGCGGCAUGCUUUACACAUGCAAGUCGAACGGUAACAGGCCUUCGGGUGCUGACGAGUGGCGAACGGGUGAGUAAUGCAUCGGAACGUACCCAGAGGUGGGGGAUAACGCAGCGAAAGCUGUGCUAAUACCGCAUGUGAUCUGAGGAUGAAAGCGGGGGACCGAGCAGCAAUGUUUGGCCUCGCGCCUUUGGAGCGGCCGAUGUCGGAUUAGCUAGUUGGUGGGGUAAAGGCCUACCAAGGCGACGAUCCGUAGCUGGUCUGAGAGGACGACCAGCCACCCUGGGACUGAGCCACGGCCCAGACUCCUACGGGAGGCAGCAGUGGGGAAUGUUGGACAAUGGGCGCAAGCCUGAUCCAGCAAUGCCGCGUGCGGGAAGAAGGCCUCCGGGUUGUAAACCGCUUUUGGCAGGAACGAAACGGUGUCCGCUAAUACCGGGCGCUAAUGACGGUACCUGCAGAAUAAGCACCGGCUAACUACGUG
rnacentral:rRNA from 1 species